AUGAUUCUUAGGGUAAACCAAUACUUAUCACAAACAUCUUGGAAUUCGCAAAAUAUUGCCAAUUAUUUUCUGAAAAAUUAUUACCGAUUUACUCUGAAGAACUAUGCUAUUUGGGAACAUACUAGUUCAGAGAAGGCACUUACUUCUCAAGCAACGAAUACAUCCUCUUUAGAGCUUCUUCACAUGGAAGUUUUGGAUCGUCGACAAAGGAUGUGGCCUUGUUCUCUAGUUUCACCAGGUCCUGAUACUCAAAGGCGGCCUCUCUUAAUGCAUCAGUUUUGCUCUCUGGCCAAUCGAAAUGCUUUAGCACUGCUCUCUCAUCAACCUAAAAGAAAGGUUAAUUGA
rnacentral:rRNA from 1 species